rnacentral:rRNA from 1 species
GAGCUUGCUCUCCGGGUGACGAGCGGCGGACGGGUGAGUAAUGUCUGGGAAACUGCCUGAUGGAGGGGGAUAACUACUGGAAACGGUAGCUAAUACCGCAUAACGUCUUCGGACCAAAGUGGGGGACCUUCGGGCCUCAUGCCAUCAUAUGUGCCCAGAUGGGAUUAGCUAGUAGGUGGGGUAAUGGCUCACCUAGGCGACGAUCCCUAGCUGGUCUGAGAGGAUGACCAGCCACACUGGAACUGAGACACGGUCCAGACUCCUACGGGAGGCAGCAGUGGGGAAUAUUGCACAAUGGGCGCAAGCCUGAUGCACCCAUGCCGCGUGUAUGAAGAAGGCCUUCGGGUUGUAAAGUACUUUCAGCGAGGAGGAAGGCAUUAAGGUUAAUAACCUUAGUGAUUGACGUUACUCGCAGAAGAAGCACCGGCUAACUCCGUGCCAGCAGCCGCGGUAAUACGGAGGGUGCGAGCGUUAAUCGGAAUUACUGGGCGUAAAGCGCACGCAGGCGGUCUGUCAAGUCGGAUGUGAAAUCCCCGGGCUCAACCUGGGAACUGCAUUCGAAACUGGCAGGCUAGAGUCUUGUAGAGGGGGGUAGAAUUCCACGUGUAGCGGUGAAAUGCGUAGAGAUCUGGAGGAAUACCGGUGGCGAAAGGCGGCCCCUCUGGACAAAGACUGACGCUCAGUGCGAAAGCGUGGGGAGCAAA